AUGCCGUGGUGUGGACACUUCCGCAAAAGCUCUUUAAAUCUCUCCCACGCGUCACUGGUAGAUUCAUCUUCAAGCUACUGGAAAGACAUAAUUUCACUUCUGAAUUU